GGUCGGGAUUCCCGGCGCAGACCGGGAAUCCCCCUAGCAGACCGAAGCUCUAGACAGGACUCGGCAUGAGUGAGACUCGAACCAUCGCCCGUCUGUACUUCAAGGUGCCAGGGGCCGGCGACAAGUGCUCUGCGCCACCUGCCAGGCCGUGGAAUUAGUGCAAAUGUGUUUGUUUUCAUCUUAAACCAUUGUCAGUGACGUCAUUCUACGCGACUACCACAGGUGAAGGUGCUGCCCACCCAUGAUGCCAGCAAGGUGCGUGCAAGUGGAUCCGGCCUUAAAACCACUGGAGUGCCCAGCUCUCUGCCAGUGAAGUUCAACAUUGAUGGCAAAGAUGCAGGUGAGGGACUGCUGGCAGUGCAGAUCACUGUGAGCGCAUGUGAUCUGCUAUUCCUCUUUGAAUAGUACGCUGGUUGCCCCCGGAGUUCGAGUCUCCGGGAGGAAAUCCUGGUGGUUUGAGGCCCCAGGCUUGUGUUGGGUACGGUCCAUCACAAGGACAUUGGCUCGAGCGCGCUGUUGGGGAGAAGCCGGCCCAGACCUGUGUUCGAUCCAAGUACGCCACAGGGACAGCGGUUCGGGUACGCUGUCGGAGUCCAUUUCUGCAUACUAUAGUGCACGGAGUGGUGGUGUUCGUUCCUUGGUCCGUAGAAGGCAAGGGCCUCACGGGGGACGCCUCGUGUAGUAAAAUGGGAUCUAGAUCCAGUAGAGCGGCAGACGUUUCACCAGGCGGCCAGGGACAAAACUCAAUGUGUGACUGUAUGGUAAGAACUGAGUAAAUGUGUGGUGUGUAAGAUUGCAGAGAAUGGUUGUGUGGGAAAAGUUGAUGUGUGUGUAAAAAAAAAAAAAAAAAAAACAGUGAAAAUUGGGUUCAAAAUGUUGAAAAUGGGGAACAAAAAACAAGAAAAGAAAAAAGAGGAGUGUAAAAGUCGUCUCGUCUCCAACUAGCGGAAGGUGGUGGUCCUGCAGACCACCAGCUCCCCUAGUGUGGACACACAAAAAAUUUCUUUUUAGCAGAA